UGGGGAAUUUUGGACAAUGGGGGAAACCCUGAUCCAGCCAUCUCGCGUGUGCGAUGAAGGCCUUCGGGUUGUAAUGCACCUUUGGCAGGAAAGAAACGUCAUGGGUUAAUACCCCGUGAAACUGACGGUACCUGCAGAAUAAGCACCGGCUAACUACGUUCCAGCAGCCGCGGUAAUACGUAGGGUGCAAGCGUUAAUCGGAAUUACUGGGCGUAAAGCGUGCGCAGGCGGUUCGGAAAGAAAGAUGUGAAAUCCCAGAGCUCAACUUUGGAACUGCAUUUUUAACUACCGGGCUAGAGUGUGUCAGAGGGAGGUGGAAUUCCGCGUGUAGCAGUGAAAUGCGUAGAUAUGCGGAGGAACACCGAUGGCGAAGGCAGCCUCCUGGGAUAACACUGACGCUCAUGCACGAAAGCGUGGGGAGCAAACAGG
rnacentral:rRNA from 1 species